UCAGUACCUGGACCAAAGAUUACAGCAUAUUAUUUUUGAUCCAACCAGUUGCUAACACUAGAUUGUUGGCCUCAACAGUCCUGGUCUUGUUGCUGAGGGUGAAUAUACUGACUGAUUUUAGCUGGGGAAGAAAACUCCACCCUGCUGUACAAGAGUGGUUCAAGUGUUGUGUGUUAUUUGAAUACUCUCCUGCAGUCUUAUGGAAGUUCCAGGUGAAAAGUUUUUUGUCUGUUUGUUUUUUAGUAUCACUGCAAUAGAACGUUUAGUUUCAAAGGGUGGGUGACCAAUAGAGGAUUUGCUUUUACUGUAUAAUUGCUAGUUUUAUAUAAUUAUAAUGUAAAUUUUAAAGCAUUUGUACUGAGCACUGUUUUUAUGCAGUUACAUUGCAGUGUUAUUGCAGCAAUGGUGAUCUACAGACUAUCCAAGAAACAGGAUUUGUUUGGUUAUAUCAUUUAUUGGACUAAUUAUAUAUUUUGGUAGAUAUCUUUUUAUCGGACUAACUAUAUCAAACUAUUAAAAUAUAGUUGGUUCAAUAACAGAUUUGAACAAAUCCCACUUUUUCCAGUUCUAUGCACAUCCACAACCUGUAAGUCACUAUAGUGCCACUAUAGCUGACACGCUGGAUGUCUAGCUGCAGAAUGACUUUUUUCCUUCAGGGAGUAUGUGGUGAAAAUUGCUUUCAUCUUGGUCCUGUGGAAAUUUUCAAAGAAUGCCCAUCAACUUCAGGGACUUUCUUUAGUCUUCAUGUAUAACCUUGCUGCUUUUGUACCUAUUACCCGUUCAUGCCUUGAUUCUUUUAUGCAGCUAUCAAUACUAGUAGUACUUGUUUUAAAAAUUAGAAAACAUCUGUACAAGAGAGAAAAACUACAAGUUAAGGAAGGUUACAGUUGAAGACAAGCCUGAACCAAAAUUUGGGGUCCUACCAGCCAGAAACUUUAAAAUGUUGGAAUUCAGAAUCUGGAGUUGGUUAUUAUAAUUUUUUACUUGAGCCAAUCUCUAGUUGCAGUCACCCGAGGAAAAUGGCAAUCAACCUAAAUAAACACUGUGAGUAUAGCAGAUGCAAAUAUACCAGUAUACAGUUAGGGUAAAAUAGUGUGUUGUGCCCCUUAGAAUUGAAGUCUGCCCCAGGAGUGGAUGUAUCUAUUUGAAUGAAGUGGAACAUUUUACCCCUUGCUAAUGAACCUAUUAUUUUGAAACUCAAAUGCUGAACAAAGCUAGCACUAUCAUAAGAUGCUAUAAAUUAUUCUUUACCUGCUGUGACAUUCUGGAUGAGUUAGGGGAUAAUGACACACAAUUUACAUUUGAUGUAUUUUGACAAUUCUCUUUGCAGCAGCAGCUCAAAUAUAGCAUGUCAAGCCUCUUGUAUGCACCACCACGUGAGUUUGCAGAAAAGUCAGCUCAAACUCUGUAACGCACAUGAAAAUAUAUAUUGGCUAUUAGAGUUCAAGAUUUAUGUUUGGAGGGUUAGAAACUUCAGCCAAAAUUCUGUUCCAAAGUUAAUAAAUGAGACUGCCAAUAUGUGUAAAUCAUAACUCAGCUGAAAUCACUGUAGCAAUGACAUUUUAUGCCAGCUACUCAUCUGGCUCAAUGAGUCCAGAAGGAGUCACAAAUAAUUUUUCAUCUUUGAAUGAGGGAAGAGAAUGACAGAUCUCUAUCAAGAAAUGUAUCUCAGCUUAAUGAAGUAAGAAGUAAAUCAAAUGAACUAAUAACACCUGUACAAAUGUAAUUAUGGCUGACCAGACCAUUGCUUCAUGGACUAGAAAAAUGAGGUAAACAUGGAACAAAUGACAGCUCCAGAGAACAAAGGAGACAUCUGGCCUAUUAUUUGGUUAUGUAAAGCACGUAAAAAGCAUUUCUAGCAUUCA